UACGGAGGGCGCGAGCGUUGUUCGGAAUCACUGGGCGUAAAGCGCGCGCAGGCGGGACUAGCAAGUCGGGAGUGAAAUCUCGGAGCUCAACUCCGAGGCUGCUUCCGAAACUGCGGACCUGGAGACUGGUAGAGGUGGGUGGAAUUCCCGGUGUAGCGGUGGAAUGCGUAGAGAUCGGGAAGAACACCGGUGGCGAAGGCGGCCCACUGGGCCAGUUCUGACGCUGAGGCGCGAAAGCGUGGGGAGCAAACAGG
rnacentral:rRNA from 1 species